rnacentral:rRNA from 1 species
GUAGGGAAUCUUCCACAAUGGACGAAAGUCUGAUGGAGCAAUGCCGCGUGAGUGAAGAAGGGUUUCGGCUCGUAAAACUCUGUUGUUAAAGAAGAACACCUUUGAGAGUAACUGUUCAAGGGUUGACGGUAUUUAACCAGAAAGCCACGGCUAACUACGUGCCAGCAGCCGCGGUAAUACGUAGGUGGCAAGCGUUGUCCGGAUUUAUUGGGCGUAAAGCGAGCGCAGGCGGUUUUUUAAGUCUGAUGUGAAAGCCUUCGGCUUAACCGGAGAAGUGCAUCGGAAACUGGGAGACUUGAGUGCAGAAGAGGACAGUGGAACUCCAUGUGUAGCGGUGGAAUGCGUAGAUAUAUGGAAGAACACCAGUGGCGAAGGCGGCUGUCUAGUCUGUAACUGACGCUGAGGCUCGAAAGCAUGGGUAGCGAACAGGAUUAGAUACCCCUGUAGUCC